GUAGGUGGCAAGCGUUGUCCGGAAUUAUUGGGCGUAAAGCGCGCGCAGGCGGUCCUUUAAGUCUGAUGUGAAAGCCCACGGCUCAACCGUGGAGGGUCAUUGGAAACUGGGGGACUUGAGUACAGAAGAGGAAAGCGGAAUUCCAAGUGUAGCGGUGAAAUGCGUAGAGAUUUGGAGGAACACCAGUGGCGAAGGCGGCUUUCUGGUCUGUAACUGACGCUGAGGCGCGAAAGCGUGGGGAGCAAACAGGAUUAGAUACCCUGGUAGUCCACGCUGUAAACGAUGAGUGCUAAGUGUUAGGGGGUUUCCCGCCCCCCUUAGUGCUGCAGCUAACGCAUUAAGCACUCCGCCUGGGGAGUACGGCCGCAAGGCUG
rnacentral:rRNA from 1 species